UACGGAGGGUGCAAGCGUUGUCCGGAUUUAUUGGGUUUAAAGGGUGCGUAGGCGGCCCUGUAAGUCAGUGGUGAAAUACUGCAGCUUAACUGUAGCAUUGCCAUUGAUACUGUAGGGCUUGAGUACAGAUGAGGUAGGCGGAAUUGAUGGUGUAGCGGUGAAAUGCAUAGAUACCAUCGAGAACACCGAUUGCGAAGGCAGCUUACUAAGCUGUAACUGACGCUGAGGCACGAAAGCGUGGGGAUCGAACAGG
rnacentral:rRNA from 1 species